rnacentral:rRNA from 1 species
UACGUAGGGUGCGAGCGUUGUCCGGAAUUAUUGGGCGUAAAGAGCUUGUAGGUGGUUUGUCGCGUCUGCUGUGAAAUCCGAGGCUCAACCUCGGACUUGCAGUGGGUACGGGCAGACUAGAGUGUGGUAGGGGAGACUGGAAUUCCUGGUGUAGCGGUGGAAUGCGCAGAUAUCAGGAGGAACACCGAUGGCGAAGGCAGGUCUCUGGGCCAAUUACUGACACUGGAGAAGCGAAAGCCAUGGGGAGCGAACAGG